rnacentral:rRNA from 1 species
UACGUAGGGGGCAAGCGUUGUCCGGAAUCAUUGGGCGUAAAGCGCGCGUAGGCGGCCAGAUAAGUCCGGUGUGAAAGUCACAGGCUCAACCUGUGAAUGCCGCUGGAAACUGUCUGGCUUGAGUCCGGAAGGGGCGAGUGGAAUUCCUGGUGUAGCGGUGAAAUGCGCAGAUAUCAGGAGGAACACCAAUGGCGAAGGCAGCUCGCUGGAACGGUACUGACGCUGGGGCGCGAAAGCGUGGGGAGCGAACAGG